rnacentral:rRNA from 1 species
GACGAACGCUGGCGGCGUGCUUAACACAUGCAAGUCGAACGGAAAGGCCCUGCUUUUGUGGGGUGCUCGAGUGGCGAACGGGUGAGUAACACGUGAGUAACCUGCCCUUGACUUUGGGAUAACUUCAGGAAACUGGGGCUAAUACCGGAUAGGAGCUCCUGCUGCAUGGUGGGGGUUGGAAAGUUUCGGCGGUUGGGGAUGGACUUGCGGCUUAUCAGCUUGUUGGUGGGGUAGUGGCUUACCAAGGCUUUGACGGGUAGCCGGCCUGAGAGGGUGACCGGCCACAUUGGGACUGGGAUACGGCCCAGACUCCUACGGGAGGCAGCAGUGGGGAAUAUUGCACAAUGGGCGGAAGCCUGAUGCAGCAACGCCGCGUGCGGGAUGACGGCCUUCGGGUUGUAAACCGCUUUCGCCUGUGACGAAGCGUGAGUGACGGUAAUGGGUAAAGAAGCACCGGCUAACUACGUG